CCCCACGGAGUCGCUCUUUUCAAUUUCGGCGUUUGGAGAGUCAACAUCUAAAAUUCCCAAUCGGAAGAAAACAAUUUGUAAAUUUCCACUAAAAACACAAAGAAUCGCAUUUAUUGUGUUUCAAAAUGGAGUCAUCCAUUUCAAUUCCACGUGGGCGCGUCGCCUAUAUUCAUUGUACGAGCUGAACAAGUUCUUAUGGGAUAUUCCGGUUUGAAGAAGAAAAAAAAUCACGUUAGGUCACCUGAAAUGUAACCACGUGGUGCCGGGCCAAUGUUAAGUACCAACUGAAUGUGUUGGAGUCUUGGUCGUGAAGAUGAAGCAUUUCAUUUCGUGCACACCUACCAACAUUCAUCGGUGAACACAAGAAGAUCAGCAACGAAACCAUCGCUCGAGCGCAAUGGUCACAAUCGACACAGUCAAAAGCCAUCAGUUAACACGGAGUGAAAACAUCGAAAAGCAGCGCUCACGAGAUGACCAUGAAUGGAGUCGUUGAACAAAGGUCACAGUUUAGCAAGAUGUGCUGACAAUUUACUGAUGAUCUCAUUGGAAUAAAAAAAAGUUGUUUUCAAUGUAUUCGUUACCAUAAGCUUUAUUUCUAUUGAAAAUAAAGUAAAAAUAAGUCAAAAAUCCAAA